UACGUAGGGUGCAAGCGUUAAUCGGAAUUACUGGGCGUAAAGCGUGCGCAGGCGGUUGUGCAAGACAGAUGUGAAAUCCCCGGGCUUAACCUGGGAACUGCAUUUGUGACUGCACGGCUAGAGUGUGUCAGAGGGGGGGUAGAAUUCCACGUGUAGCAGUGAAAUGCGUAGAGAUGUGGAGGAAUACCGAUGGCGAAGGCAGCCCCCUGGGAUAACACUGACGCUCAUGCACGAAAGCGUGGGGAGCAAACAGG
rnacentral:rRNA from 1 species